GGAGAAAUAUUGUAUUUUUAUUGUAGAAAAUACUCUGGGCGGGGCCACAAGCUCCCCGCUCCGUGAAACAGAUCCAUGAACGUCUUUGUGUUCCUGGUCUGAGCCGGAAUCUGGAUCUUAACAGCUGGAUAGCUCUGAAGGCAACAGGAGAUAUCCAGGGUGGAGACAGUCUUUGGUGAUGCUUAGAGCUUUGCUGAGGUAGUGGUAGAUGUCGAGCAGAGGAUCUGAGCCUCAGUUGUCUUGGGUUCUUGGACUGAACUUGGACCAUAGAUGAAUAGACCCCAGAGUCUACAACAGGAAUGGGAAACUCCGGGCCUCGAGGGCUGCUGUGUCUACAGGAUUUCCAGAUAUCAAAGCCCAAGUCAAGACUGGUUCAGACGCUGAUGGGUGUUUGAGGCUCCAGGUGGAGAACGGAGAGAAAAGGGGACGACCAGUCUGCCACUGAAGCUCCUUAUUAGCUAAACACACCUGAUCCAGGUGUGUUUAACUCAUCCUGAAUGUGAAGACCUGAUUGAAGAUGGGGUGUGGAGUGACGUAACAACCCAGCGGGCCUAGCUGUGAAUCAAGUAUUGACCAAAGCUUCACUACAUCAGUCUUACCUCUUCCUGGAGCAGGACUCCCAUCAUUCUAUUUUAUUUUUUUUCUGGUGUACAUACUUUGUGAUCUGUUAUUUAAGCUUGUACAGAAAUUCCAAUACGUCCAUUAAUUUAAACUGUGACUUCUAAAAGCUUUGCACAACAAUUCCAAUGUGUCUCAAUGUAAGUUGAUACAAAUAAAAAACCCUGAA